GUGCACGGAGGUGACUUUCAUCCAACACCCUCUGUGAACCUUUGGCCUCUUGCUGGCUUCGGCUGGCUGAGGAUUUACACAAACUCGCAUGUAUUGAGGACCCAUUAUGUGCGCAAGCACUAAUAUACAACUUUCAACAACGGAUCUCUUGGCUCUCGCAUCGAUGAAGAACGCAGCGAAAUGCGAUAAGUAAUGUGAAUUGCANAAUUCAGUGAAUCAUCGAAUCUUUGAACGCACCUUGCACCCUUUGGCAUUCCGAAGGGUAUGCUCGUUUGAGUGUCAUUGUACUCUCACACUCCCAAUCCCUUUGGAUUGGGAGCGGUGGACUUGGGUGUUGCCACUUGACUGAGGCUCACCUGAAAUAUGUUAGUGCAUCUCUUGAUUGGACAUAGUACGGCGUGAUAAGUGUCUUCGCCGGCUCCUCUUUGCGAGGGUGGCCGAUCAGGAGCUCUGUUGCUUCAAACUGUCUUCAGACAAUCUUCUGACAACUUGACCUCGAAUCGAGUAGGACUACCCGCUGAACUUAAGCAUAUCAAUAAGCGGAGGAAAAGAAACUAACNAGGAUUCCCUUAGUAACGGCGAGUGAAGAGGGAAGAGCUCAGAUUUUGAAUCUGGCGUCUUUGGCGUCCGAGUUGUAAUCUAGAGAAGUGUUUUCCGUUGCGGACCGUGCAUAAGUCUCCUGGA
rnacentral:rRNA from 1 species